rnacentral:lncRNA from 1 species
CCAAUGGUUAUGUUUUCUUCUGUCUCAUACCUCAAGCACUUGUUCACCCACUCUCAUCUUCAGAAGAUUAACAAUGGCUUGGUCGCUGUAAGCUCUUACACUGGUGUUUUUGUCUUUUGUGUUGUCCAGAAGCGCUUUGAGAAUUGGUUUAAUUGUCUGAGGAUCCAGUGCAGGAAGAUGGUUUUUAUUUGCCCACCAGAUCAUUUUUUCUGCAACUAACUUUAUGUCACUGGAUGAGUUCUGGAGACACUUAAUAAAGAGGU